UGCGUAGGCGGUUUGUUAAGUCUGUUGUGAAAUCCCCGGGCUCAACCUGGGAAUGGCAAUGGAUACUGGCAAGCUAGAGUGUGUCAGAGGAUGGUGGAAUUUCCGGUGUAGCGGUGAAAUGCGUAGAGAUCGGAAGGAACAUCAGUGGCGAAGGCGGCCAUCUGGGACAACACUGACGCUGAAGCAAGCUGGGGAGCAAACA
rnacentral:rRNA from 1 species